ACAACAUAAAUGAAAAAAAUUGAUGCCUAUGGUAUAAAAAGGCAGGUAGACAUUUGUAGAUACAUCAUUCGUUUACGAUCUUGUCAGACGACAUCAUUCUUUCAUACUCUGCUAAAUUAACAUAGCCAAAUCAGUAUUUGACGUUUAAAAAUAACACUGAGUCCUAAUAAUUUCAUACAUUGACUCAUAAAAUAAAAUUAUUCUUUGUAUUAAACAAUAAAUUCAUUUUAAUUAGGAAAUCAGGUUUCUGACGAGAAUAAGCCAUUUAAAAAAAUGAAUCGUUCGAUAUCAAUUGUAAUUUUUGCUAUAAUAAUGAUUGCUAUAUUAUUACAAGAAAGUACUGAAGCUGCACCCACUAUUUGUCUUUUAAAAAUCUGUUCGUUUACACCUCACUCAAUACCUCGUACGAAAAAUGGAUAACUUAUCUCAUCACAUACAAGCAGUCAUUAAUCGAUGUUACCUGAUCAUUCGUAUACAUGUGUGAAAAUGUAUUUGUAGUCAAAACAUUUGUAAAAAAUGAUAAAAAUAUAUUUAAUUAUUGAUCAAUUACAUAAAUAAAGAAAUUUG